rnacentral:rRNA from 1 species
GUGCCAGCAGCCGCGGUAAUACGUAGGUGGCAAGCGUUGUCCGGAAUUACUGGGUGUAAAGGGCGAGUAGGUGGAUCACUAAGUCAGAGGUGAAAACCCAUGGCUAAACUGUGGGAUAGCAACUGAAACUAGAGAUCUUGAGUACUGGAGAGGGAAGCGGAAUUCCUAGUGUAGCGGUGAAAUGCGUAGAUAUUAGGAGGAACACCAGUGGCGAAGGCGGCUUCCUGGACAGAGACUGACACUGAGGCGCGAAAGCGUGGGGAGCGAACAGGAUUAGAUACCCUGGUAGUCCACGCUGUAAACGAUGGAUACUAGGUGUAGGUGGUAAGAAACCAUCUGUGCCGGAGUAAACACAAUAAGUAUCCCACCUGGGGAGUACAGCCGCAAGGUUGAAACUCAAAGGAAUUGACGGGGGCCCGCACAAGCAGUGGAGUAUGUGGUUUAAUUCGAAGCAACGCGAAGAACCUUACCAGGGCUUGACAUCCCUUGAACUAUCUAGAGAUAGGUAGGGCCUACGGGACAAGGAGACAGGUGGUGCAUGGUUGUCGUCAGCUCGUGUCGUGAGAUGUUGGGUUAAGUCCCGCAACGAGCGCAACCCUUAUAGCUAGUUGCCAGCAAUAAGAUGGGGACUCUAGCGAGACAGCCGUUGAGAAAACGGAGGAAGGAAAGGAUGACGUCAAAUCAUCAUGCCCCUUAUGCUCUGGGCUACACACGUACUACAAUGGCUACUACAGGGGGAAGCGAAGCCAGGAGGCGGAGCAAAUCUCAAAAAGGUAGUCCCAGUUCAGAUUGUAGGCUGAAACUCGCCUGCAUGAAGUAGGAAUUGCUAG